rnacentral:rRNA from 1 species
AGCAGCCGCGGUAAUUCCAGCUCCAAUAGCGUAUAUUAAAGUUGUUGCAGUUAAAAAGCUCGUAGUUGAAUUUCGGGAUCAAUUUGUUGGUCGUGCCUUGGUACGUACUUGGCAUUAUUGGUUUCUUCCUUCUGAGAAUCCUUGAUGUCAUUAAUUUGGUGUCUUGGGGAAUCAGGACUGUUACCUUGAAAAAAUUAGAGUGUUUAAAGCAGGCAUCCGCUUGAAUACAUUAGCAUGGAAUAAUGAAAUAGGACGUUCGAUUCUAUUUUGUGGUUUCUAGGAUCGAUGUAAUGAUUAAUAGGGAUAGUUGGGGGCAUUAGUAUUCAAUUGUCAGAGGUGAAAUUCUUGGAUUUAUUGAAGACUAACUACUGCGAAAGCAAUUUGCCAAGGAUGUUUCAUUAAUCAAGAACGAAAGUUAGGGAUCGAAGACGAUCAGAUACCGU